CCUCUCUAUAAAAAGGGGGGUCCAUCAGCUCAGCCUGCUUUUGGGAGAUCCAGAUGGCAACAGCUGACUUUUGGGACAACAGCCCCACUCUCCCAUGCCCUCACUGAAGAUGGCGAUGGAAUCCAAGAUGGCGCUGAUGAUGACCAAGAUUCUUGCAAGGAGGAAACAGGGCUCGCUCGAGUCAAAGGGCCUGAAUCUGUGGUGAGCAUGGUCCGGGACUUUCCUGCUGGGUGCCCAUUUUCUCUCCAUUUGUCAUUUUUCCAGUCUCAACUUCAGCUCUCCACAUUUGUGCAGCAAUUUGUGAUGGGGGGGGGGAAGAAUCCUCAUAGAACUUCUUCAGCACUGUGGUGCGAAUUUAUCCUAAUGAAUACUGUGUAUGCAGCUUUGACUCGUGUGCAUACCUUU